CCUACGGGAGGCAGCAGUGAGGAAUAUUGGUCAAUGGACGAGAGUCUGAACCAGCCAAGUAGCGUGAAGGAUGACUGCCCUAUGGGUUGUAAACUUCUUUUAUAUGGGAAUAAAACGUUCCACGUGUGGGAUUUUGUAUGUCCCAUAUGAAUAAGGAUCGGCUAACUCCGUGCCAGCAGCAGCGGUAAUACGGAGGAUCCGAGCGUUAUCCGGAUUUAUUGGGUUUAAAGGGAGCGUAGGUGGAUUGAUAAGUCAGUUGUGAAAGUUUGCGGCUCAACCGUAAAAUUGCAGUUGAAACUGGCAGUCUUGAGUACAGUAGAGGUGGGCGGAAUUCGUGGUGUAGCGGUGAAAUGCUUAGAUAUCACGAAGAACUCCGAUUGCGAAGGCAGUUCACUGGACUGCAACUGACACUGAGGCUCGAAAGUGUGGGUAUCAAACAGGAUUAGAUACCCGUGUAGUC
rnacentral:rRNA from 1 species